UUCUCGACUUGGGUCGUUGCGUUCGUCGUCUGCUCCGGCGUUCGGGGUUUCCUUGUUCCCUCCCUUCAUCGGCCAAGAAGACAGCGAUCGAGGCUGUGGCUCAAGAAAUUCGCUGAUCUUUCCUUCAUCCGAGAACAUGGCGCGGGAUUCAGAUAAAACUCUGUACCUUCUGUAACGAUUUUCCUUCUUUUUGCGCUUGAAAUCCUAUUCGUAGUAGUUCGACAUUGUUCUCUGAUAUUUCUGGACGGAUCUUGUUGUGAUACACGAUGAUUUGUAGAUGUGGCGAUUGUUCAACAUCUUGUACGAUUACUGAUCUUUUUUUAUUAUUAUUAUUGAGGUUUCAGAUCACCAAUUGUAGCGUACUCUGCGAGAUCAUUGAGGUCCAUUACGUUAAAUUUUGCUUAGUGUCUAUUCUUUUAGGUUUUGCGGAUUGUUCUGGCCAUCUGUUAAGGAAUUUUCUUGUGGUUUGUAGUUGUAUGGAUAGUUUGGUAUUGGUGGGAAAGUCUGUUUUUAGUUCUAUGAUUGGUAUUGAGGGUUGUCUUUGUGUUGAGUUGAUUGCAUCUCAUAUGUAUGUGUAGGACCAGAGCUUUUUCUUUACCAUGGGUGCUCCAUUUUGUGUCCUUGUUUUGGCAUAUGGGAAUCUGCUGCAUCCUUCUUGCUUUUGGAGUUCUGUUUGAAAUAUGCAGUCCUGAUCAUUCUGAUGGCUAUCAAAUUGUGUUCUCUUUCUUCUUCAGUUAGUAAGUCAAAGAAAUCACAGGUACGCUGUUCGCUAACUUGGUCUUUAUAAAGGGAAUGGUGUGAUUCCUACACCUGUUUUUGAUUUGGUUUAAUUGCAGUCAUUUCAAGACUGUUGUCAGAUGCUGUCCAUUGAUGAAAUUUGUCCUGUUAUAUUACUUAUUCUACUGAGGCAUAGCAUUCCAAUGUACAAUUCGGCAAAGUCUUAUUUUUCGCUCAAAAUUUAUUA